rnacentral:rRNA from 1 species
GGUAACACUGAAUGGAGGACCGAACCGACUUACGUUGAAAAGUGAGCGGAUGAACUGAGGGUAGCGGAGAAAUUCCAAUCGAACCUGGAGAUAGCUGGUUCUCUCCGAAAUAGCUUUAGGGCUAGCCUCAAGUGAUGAUUAUUGGAGGUAGAGCACUGUUUGGACGAGGGGCCCCUCUCGGGUUACCGAAUUCAGACAAACUCCGAAUGCCAAUUAAUUUAACUUGGGAGUCAGAACAUGGGUGAUAAGGUCCGUGUUCGAAAGGGAAACAGCCCAGACCACCAGCUAAGGUCCCAAAAUAUAUGUUAAGUGGAAAAGGAUGUGGCGUUGCCCAGACAACUAGGAUGUUGGCUUAGAAGCAGCCAUCAUUUAAAGAGUGCGUAAUAGCUCACUAGUCGAGUGACACUGCGCCGAAAAUGUACCGGGGCUAAACAUAUUACCGAAGCUGUGGAUUGUCCUUUGGACAAUGGUAGGAGAGCGUUCUAAGGGCGUUGAAGCAUGAUCGUAAGGACAUGUGGAGCGCUUAGAAGUGAGAAUGCCGGUGUGAGUAGCGAAAGACGGGUGAGAAUCCCGUCCACCGAUUGACUAAGGUUUCCAGAGGAAGGCUCG